AUGAGCUCACCUGAUGUAUGUAGCCUGGUGAGAUGCUCCGCCCGCCGCCACCGCCUCCGCCCCGGCUAUAAAGCUCCGCCCUUUGGCCGGCCCGCCCCUCCUCUCUCCGUCCGGGCCGCGCCUCUCGCCUCCUUCCUUCGUCCUCCGGUUCCAAGUCCACCGUGCUCCCUCUCCUCUCCGCCUGCGGGGCCGCGCCGCUCCCCGGGGGCGUGGGGCGCGGCCAAUCCGUUUGAGAAACUUGUGUUCCUGCGUUCCGUGUUCACGGUGGAGCGAUGGUUCCUGCCUGAGCUCUUUCUGGAUAGGACAGAGGUACAAUAUUUACAUCCAUGGCAGAAGGUUCUUAACCCUGAACUCAUCAAAGGUCCUUGGACUCAAGAGGUUUGGCACUGCACUUCUGACUUUGCUCGAAAAAAAAACCUUUUGCACAUUUUAUAG
rnacentral:rRNA from 1 species